rnacentral:rRNA from 1 species
GUGCCAGCAGCCGCGGUAAUACGAAGGGGGCUAGCGUUGCUCGGAAUCACUGGGCGUAAAGGGUGCGUAGGCGGGUCUUUAAGUCACGGGGUGAAAUCCUGGAGCUCAACUCCAGAACUGCCUUUGAUACUGAAGAUCUUGAGUUCGGGAGAGGUGAGUGGAACUGCGAGUGUAGAGGUGAAAUUCGUAGAUAUUCGCAAGAACACCAGUGGCGAAGGCGGCUCACUGGCCCGAUACUGACGCUGAGGCACGAAAGCGUGGGGAGCA